rnacentral:rRNA from 1 species
UACGGGGGGGGCAAGCGUUGUUCGGAAUUACUGGGCGUAAAGGGCUCGUAGGCGGCCAACUAAGUCGGAUGUGAAAUCCCCAGGCCCAACCUGGGAACUGCGUCUGAUACUGGAUGGCUUGAAUUCGGGAGAGGGGUGCAGAAUUCCAGGUGUAGCGGUGAAAUGCGUAGAUAUCAGGAGGAACACCGGUGGCGAAGGCGGUUCUCUGGGCAUUACCUGACGCUGAGGAGCGAAAGCAUGGGGAGCGAACAGG